rnacentral:tRNA from 4 species
GGUUCCGUAGCUCAGCAGGAUAGAGCAGCGGUUUCCUAAACCGAAGGUCACAGGUUCGAAUCCUGUCGGGACCGCCA